AGUGGGAAGAGGGGCGGGACAGAGCGAUGCUGCCUGAACUGACAGCAAAUUUAAAUUACUGAGCUUUCUUUUGCUUUUUUUCUUUCUUUGAGUGCCCUUUCCUUUUUUUUCUCUCUUUUCUUUUUUUUUUUUUUUUUUGGUAUUUUUCUACUCUGCGACAAACUGAAAAGAUUCGAGCACACACUAAUUUAACAACCCUGCUUCGUCGUCUUCUUUUUUUUCCCCCUUCUGCUUCCAGGAUAAUUAAAAGAGAAACCUGUAAAGGCAACGUUCCUUCAAGCAAGUUGGUGCUGUAACGUGCUGAUAUUCAGCUCUUUUCAGCAGAAUAACAAGGAGUAGCUCAGCAAAGAAGAAGAGAGCAGGUGUGGAAGGCAGGGAAGAACAGUGGGACUCCUUCAAGACAGGAAAAAAUACUCUCAGGCAUGGGGAGAAAAGAAAGAAUAAGCUGCUCUGUGCUACCAGUGCCUACAGUGGAGGAGAUGAACUACAUUACCUACAGCAGUUCUGCCUUUUGCUCCAUGCACCUCAUUUUUGCAUAAAAGAAAAAAUUAUACUUUGUCAUGCUGUAUUAAAGAUAAUUAUCUCCUUCAA